CAGCCAGCCCUGGCUCAUGGACAUACACCUGUACCUGCCCAGCUUUACUCACGAAGUCUGGACACCGACCUGGAACCUUUGCAUGUGGUGUAAGCAGCACUUCCAUCUUAUCCCCUUUGGAGAGGAGCCCAUGGUGUGGACGCUGUGAACCCUGCAGGUGGGCCCAGCGUUCUCCUGCCUGUAGAGCUGCCCAUGGAGUCCAGCUGGUGGCCCUCCUGAGGGCCCUGGCCUGGCUCUCUGGGGAUUCAUGUCUUUUCAGGAUCUCUGUGGCUGCCACCUCUACUUCCUCUGGUUGCAUGUGGCAGGCAUCUGCCAGGGCCUUGCCUGUUGCCAUGACGAAGCCAGUAUCAGCCGCCAGCGUGUCCAGGCCCCCUCGAGCCAGAGCCUGCAGGGCAGAGGAGAGGCUGGGUGGGGUCUUCCUGGGGAGCUGUCUCCUGUUGGCCCCAUCCUCUCUCUACACCACGCCACCUGUGCUGUGUCCCAGCCCCCACCUCACCUCUUGGAUCAGCUGGGCUGUGGCUGGAGCCAGGCACCUGGAGGUCCCCUCCUCAGUGCUCCUGGUGCGACGUGCUUCAUCAGACCAAGACUCUGGCACCCUACACCAGCAGCUAUCGCAUUCCAGGGCCCAGGUGGUGUCCAUGGUAACAGGCCCCCACGCCAGCUCUCCUAGAUGGGCCCCUAGACGCCUCCACCAUGGCCCGCUCCCGACCCUCC